UAUUAUUUCUGUGUCCUUUGUCGCAGAAGCAGAGCAUCAGACUUGAUCUCACUCUCUCUCUCUUCCCUCAAAGUGCAGAGAAGCCACAGAUCUUAGAGAGGCAUUUCUAAAACCGCUGGCUUUGCGAUCAGAAGAGGUUCCUUAGAGAUUUAGAUGGCCAUCACAGAUAUUCGAAAUCAGCUACUUGGUGAAACCACCUGUGGUUCAUUACUUCAGCAAUUGCAGCAUAUCUGGGAUGAGGUUGGCGAGAGUGAUGAAGAACGUGAUAAAAUGCUGCUUCAAAUAGAUCAUGAGUGUGCAUUUCUC